GUUGGAUGAGUGACGCCCGUUUUCUGAAUUCAACUUCUGCUGAUACUUUUAGAAACCCUAACUUUUAAUCUGAUCGUAACAAUUUUAUGAAACUUUAGAAGUUACCAAUGACCUGAGGGAAGAAAGUUCAACAGCAUUUAAGCAAGUCCACCGUUCUUCAGUAAAGGCACUCUGUAUGCAUUAUUAAAUACUAAACUUGAGCAAGUUUGUAAUGAAGAAGAUGUAGUUGCCAGAAGAGAUGACAACGAUGAGGACGACGGCAAUAUUAUGUGAAUGCGUUUGAUUUGUAGCACAUCCUCUUUAUUGGUUCUGAUACAACUUUCUACUCAGCAAAUGGUUCCAAUUUGACAGAACGGCUAUGAAUUUCCUCUGUCAAGGCUUGAUUCAGAGACAGUGUAGCCAUCUGCUUUUCGGAAUAUCCUAGAUUUUUAAGUGUGCACUAUGGAGUUUUUGUACACUGGUCCUCUUGUUUGUUAUUUAUAUUUGUUUGACAUUUUUAAAAAUCAAUUGAACUUGCCAAAUACUGAAUAGAUGAUAUGGAACUUGAUCUUUUAUUAACUGUACUUACAGAAAUAGUAUAGAAUUGUCAGCACUUGACUCUAACUUGAUUUUGAUUUACUUUUUUUUUAUAUUGAUUAUUGUAAAUCCUUUUGUCCUAUAUUGAAAUGGAGCUUAUGCUAAACUACAGUAUAGCAAAGUACAGUACAGGACGCAUUAAACAUUAAAGGGUAAACACAUAACGCUACAUAAGUGUAAGUAACUUUGUAUUGUUGUCCUCUUCUGUCCCGGAGCAUCAAAGUUAACACGAUGUAGUU
rnacentral:lncRNA from 1 species